rnacentral:rRNA from 1 species
AUUGAACGCUGGCGGCAGGCCUAACACAUGCAAGUCGAGCGGAUGACGGGAGCUUGCUCCUUGAUUCAGCGGCGGACGGGUGAGUAAUGCCUAGGAAUCUGCCUGGUAGUGGGGGACAACGUUUCGAAAGGAACGCUAAUACCGCAUACGUCCUACGGGAGAAAGCAGGGGACCUUCGGGCCUUGCGCUAUCAGAUGAGCCUAGGUCGGAUUAGCUAGUAGGUGAGGUAAUGGCUCACCUAGGCGACGAUCCGUAACUGGUCUGAGAGGAUGAUCAGGUACACUGGAACUGAGACACGGUCCAGACUCCUACGGGAGGCAGCAGUGGGGAAUAUUGGACAAUGGGCGAAAGCCUGAUCCAGCCAUGCCGCGUGUGUGAAGAAGGUCUUCGGAUUGUAAAGCACUUUAAGUUGGGAGGAAGGGCAGUAAGUUAAUACCUUGCUGUUUUGACGUUACCGACAGAAUAAGCACCGGCUAACUCUGUGCCAGCCGCCGCCGUAAGAC